UUCAAUCUCAACUAACAUAACACAUGUAUAAUGUGUUUAUAAGAUUGUUAAUUUCUCUGUACAGACGGCAAAUAAUUAGCUUCGUUCCGCCUUCUAGCCAUCAGUUGUUGGAUUAUAUUUGCAACGUCCACAAAUUUUGGUACGUAUCAAAAUUCGAAAAUGGGAAAGAUGGUGUGUGCAGAGGUGGAUGGAGGUAAUUUUUUUGAUGUGAGUCCACUAUUCAUAGCUAUUGUUAUUGCUGUCCUCCUUUUAUUCAUUUCAUGUAUGAGUCCACCACCUCGUAGAAGAUUUAUUGCAGUCAAUCGAUUUCAUUAAAGAACAGAAAAAAGAGCUAUGUUACUCGAACUCUUUAAGAAUAUUAUUUAUCAGGAAGUGUAUUGGAUCGAUAUCCUCAAAGAAUGUGUGCCAGCAAUUUGGAGGGUUUGAAUAACAUAUAUCAAGUGGUUUUGAAGCUUUAACCAAAGCUUCAUCAUGUGUUCUUUAUUGUUCUAUCUACCUAAUUAUAUAGUUUUUUUUUUUUUUUUUUUUUCUUCCCAAUUUUAUAGUUUUUUUUUUUUUUUUUUUUGGAUUUGAGUUAUUGUUUCUGUAAACGAAAUAGGGAUACAAUUAAUGAAUUCUGUUCCUUGAUGGAAUGAAUGGAUGAGUCUAGAUUAGAAUUCUUAUCGAGAAUAUCUUCACUACCUUGCACAAGGUGGGAGUAAGAUAUCCGUACACUCCACCCUCCUAAGAUCCCAUGGAAUAAGUUGUUUGUUAUUGCUAUUUAUGCCAUUAAUAUGGAUCAAAUUAGGUUAUUGAAUUCAUGCUUUUGCUUAUAUUAAAAUUUUAAGAGUAAAUGAUUAAAAGUCCAAUUUGCAUAGGAAAUUUGCAAAGGCACUGCCCAUCAACAACAACGAUAUCCAG
rnacentral:lncRNA from 1 species